UACGUAGGUGGCAAGCGUUGUCCGGAAUUACUGGGUGUAAAGGUCGUGUAGGCGGGGAUGCAAGUCAGAUGUGAAAUUCCGGGGCUCAACUCCGGAGCUGCAUCUGAAACUGUAUCUCUUGAGUGUUGGAGAGGAAAGUGGAAUUCCUAGUGUAGCGGUGAAAUGCGUAGAGAUUAGGAGGAACACCAGUUGCGAAGGCGGCUCUCUGGACUGUAGCUGACGCUGAGGCACGAAAGCGUGGGGAGCAAACAGGAUUA
rnacentral:rRNA from 1 species